UACAGAGGUCUCAAGCGUUGUUCGGAUUCAUUGGGCGUAAAGGGCGCGUAGGCGGCGGGGUAAGUCGGGUGUGAAAUCUCAGAGCUCAACUCUGAAACUGCACUCGAUACUGCUCUGCUUGAGGACGUGGAGAGGAGACUGGAAUUCACGGUGUAGCAGUGAAAUGCGUAGAUAUCGUGAGGAAGACCAGUGGCGAAGGCGGGUCUCUGGACAGUUCCGUGAACGCUGAGGGCGGCGAAAG
rnacentral:rRNA from 1 species